UACGUAGGGACCAAGCGUUGUUCGGAUUUACUGGGCGUAAAGGGCGCGUAGGCGGCAUGUUAAGUCAGCUGUGAAAUCUCCGAGCUUAACUCGGAACUGUCAGCUGAUACUGAUGUGCUAGAGUGCAGAAGGGGCAAUCGGAAUUCUUGGUGUAGCGGUGAAAUGCGUAGAUAUCAAGAGGAACACCUGAGGUGAAGACGGGUUGCUGGGCCGACACUGACGCUGAGUGCGCGAAAGCCAGGGGAGCAAGCGGG
rnacentral:rRNA from 1 species